UACGUAGGGGGCAAGCGUUGUCCGGAUUUAUUGGGCGUAAAGAGCGUGUAGGCGGCCAGACAGGUCUGCUGUGAAAACUCGAGGCUCAACCUCGAGACGCCGGUGGAAACCGUUUGGCUAGAGUCCGGAAGAGGAGAGUGGAAUUCCUGGUGUAGCGGUGAAAUGCGCAGAUAUCAGGAGGAACACCGAUGGCGAAGGCAGCUCGCUGGGACGGUACUGACGCUGAGGCGCGAAAGCGUGGGGAGCAAACAGG
rnacentral:rRNA from 1 species